CAGCAUUGACUAGUACGGCGAGUGAGCGGCACAGCUCAAAUUUGAAAUCUGGCUCUUUUAGAGUCCGAGUUGUAAUUUGCAGAGGGCGCUUUGGCUUUGGCAGCGGUCCAAGUUCCUUGGAACAGGACGUCACAGAGGGUGAGAAUCCCGUACGUGGUCGCUGGCUAUUGCCGUGUAAAGCCCCUUCGACGAGUCGAGUUGUUUGGGAAUGCAGCUCUAAAUGGGAGGUACAUUUCUUCUAAAGCUAAAUAUUGGCCAGAGACCGAUAGCGCACAAGUAGAGUGAUCGAAAGAUGAAAAGCACUUUGGAAAGAGAGUCAAACAGCACGUGAAAUUGUUGAAAGGGAAGCGCUUGCAGCCAGACUUGCUUACAGUUGCUCAUCCGGGUUUCUACCCGGUGCACUCUUCUGUAGGCAGGCCAGCAUCAGUUUGGGCGGUAGGAUAAAGGUCUCUGUCACGUACCUCCUUUCGGGGAGGCCUUAUAGGGGAGACGACAUACUACCAGCCUGGACUGAGGUCCGCGCAUCUGCUAGGAUGCUGGCGUAAUGGCUGUAAGCGGCCCGUCUUGAAA
rnacentral:rRNA from 1 species